GAUGAAUGCUGGCGGCGUGCCUAACACAUGCAAGUCGAGCGGCAACAGGUCUAGUUCACUAGAUGCUGACGAGCGGCGGACGGCUGAGUAACGCGUGGGAAUGUGCCCCAAAGUGAGGAAUAACUGCCCGAAAGGGUAGCUAAUGCCGCAUAUGAUCUUCGGAUUAAAGGAUUUAUCCGCUUUGGGAGCAGCCCGCGUUCGAUUAGGUAGUUGGUGAGGUAAUGGCUCACCAAGCCCACGAUCGAUAGCUGGUCUGAGAGGAUGACCAGCCAGACUGGAACUGAGACACGGUCCAGACUCCUACGGGAGGCAGCAGUGAGGAAUCUUCCACAAUGGGCGAAAGCCUGAUGGAGCAACGCCGCGUGCAGGAUGAAGGCCUUAGGGUUGUAAACUGCUUUUAUAAGUGAAGAAUAUGACGGUAACUUAUGAAUAAGCACCGGCUA
rnacentral:rRNA from 1 species